GCCCUUAUGGCGUAGUGGUAGCGCGUCGCACUUGUAUUUCCGUCUUUGGUAGCAAUGCGAAGGUCACUAGUUCAAUCCUGGUUGGGGGCA